CCUGGACUUCGACACCCCUGCUGUAGGGGUUUGUAGGAGUAUGGGGUUGUGGGUCAUUUUGGUCCCUGUACACCCAGAGCUUGGUCCAUAUUGCCAGUAAUGACUGACCCAUUUCCGAUGAUCUGUUUCUGUUGGCUUCAGGUGGUGACAUCAAGUUUGCAGCAGAGUUUCAAGUGGUGGGAAAGAAAAUUGGCACCUCCAAUCCAAGGCCAUUAUCCUUGGCUGGAAAAGGUGAAGAGCCCAGUUGAGAUCAGGGAGAAGCUGCUUGCCCAGAUGAGGAGUUCUGAGUAUUUCGAGGUCUUGAUUAUGAAUGAGGGAAAGUGGAGCAGGAGACUGAGCUAUCACUUUUACAACAGUUCUGUACAGAAUUUUCUUCACUCUGACGCUGCACCAAUGUUUAGGUGAAGCUCUCGAUCUACCAGUCAAUAUUUCUACCCUCCUCCUAUCCUGACUGCAAGUUCUAGUUACUGACCAAAUGAAUGAGAUUGCAGAAAUGACUUUCCUCUAAAAAUCUACCUGGCUCUUAAGUACAAGUGUAAGGAUAGUGUAAGGAGCUUGAUCAUGCUGGAGAGAGAUUCCCUCAGCUGGGAAGGCCUCAAUAUCCUUGAGCUGAUGGCUAGGGAGAGGGAUGUCUGAGCUUGUCUGCUUAAGACUGCUGCACCCACAACUUGACCCUACAUAAGCAGCAGAAAAAUUGAAAAAUUCAUAGAAACACAUGGAUAUUGUUAAUUAAAUGUUGUGACUCAACCAUUCGAGGUUUUGAUUUUUUUCUCACAGCAAGAUGUUUUAACACCACAAGAUUUGAGUUAGGGUUACUAGAUAAAUAUACAGGAAAUGUCUGAUCAUAGUGUACCUGCGUUAGUGGACCUACAGGUGGAUAAAAGAGACUGUACGGAUACAUUUCAGACCAGUUUUAUUGAACAAAAACAUUUUUCAAAGUUCAUGUAGGAAAUACAAUAUUAUACAAGUUUUGCACAAACAAGACUAACAGAAAGCAGAUCUAGAAAAGGGCAUGGUCAAGACAGACCAAUUGCAAGGGGGUACAACAAAACUGAGACUCUUCCAGAACAAAAAGUUCACCAGGACAUGUGGGUAAUCUGUAAAGGCAGAUGCCAAACAGCAGAUGUGGUCUCAGUUCAAACAACGUGGGGAUGUUUCCAAUUCAGUCUUACUUCAUAACCUAAAUUACAUAUUUCUAGAUCAUCAAAUUUAAUGUGUACUUUCUGCUACAGAUCCCACAUAAGAAAACAGCAUUUGAACAUCAGUGUUUUGAAAAUCCAAAGACUGGCAUUAUUUACUGAGCUGGAGAUUAAAUUUGUCUAUUUUCUUGGGAUUGUACAGGCAAACAGUGGAAGUUAAGUUACAUUUUCUGGAUUUAGAGCUUGAUUUAAUGGUCUUGCGUUCACUAAAAGCUUCAGAAAAUCUAUGGAGACUGACUUUAAGAUGUUUUAUUUAUAUCAAACAGAUUUUUCUGAAAGUUGGCACGCAACAAUAUUUGUCUGGUGGAAUGUGGAUUUCUGGAGGGAAAUACAGAUGUUUGUCACAACUAACAUGAAAACAGAUUCCUUACUUGCUCACAGUAGAAACCCUUUGGAAAGCACAAAAGGCGGUUUGGCGUGCUCACCCGAACCGGCAGACGAACUAUCAAUCCCUCAACAGGAAGUUCCUGUUCUUAAAUGCAUCAAGUUGACUAAGAAGAAGAAAAACUAUGUUGCGCUAAUCUUUUUGUUCAGCACCACCUUUGGAAGAUUAGCACCUGUAGAGGAAACCAGUGUGGAGUUAAAAGAAAUCAGAUUUUCAGAGAUCUUCUAAAUGAAGCAGCGGAAAAGAACGUUAAAGACUGCCGUGUCAGGAACAGGUGACAGUAAAGCACUGGCACACUGACAAAGUGCAUUUUGUUUAGUCAGAAGGUGGGCGACAUCACUCAAAUCAAAGCUGGGAAGUUCAAAAAAAAAAAAAAA